rnacentral:rRNA from 1 species
AUUGAACGCUGGCGGCAUGCCUUACACAUGCAAGUCGAACGGCAGCACGGGCUUCGGUCUGGUGGCGAGUGGCGAACGGGUGAGUAAAGUAUCGGAACGUGCCCUAGAGUGGGGGGAUAACGUAGCGAAAGUUACGCUAAUACCGCAUAUUCUAUGCGUAGGAAAGCGGGGGAUCUUCGGACCUCGCGCUCUAGGAGCGGCCGAUAUCAGAUUAGCUAGUUGGUGGGGUAAAGGCCUACCAAGGCGACGAUCUGUAGCGGGUCUGAGAGGAUGAUCCGCCACACUGGGACUGAGACACGGCCCAGACUCCUACGGGAGGCAGCAGUGGGGAAUUUUGGGACAAUGGGGCGCAAGCCUGAUCCAGCCAUGCCGCGUGAGUGAAGAAGGCCU